rnacentral:lncRNA from 12 species
GGGCCACCCUUCAGGAGUCUUUGAAUCCUUCUAAGAUGCUGCAGCUGUCUCUUAGCUCAGUGCCGUUGGAUCCACCAUCACCUGUCAGAGGUGAAAACCUUCAUCCUACCUGUGAAUGUCCCGGUACUGCGGAGGGGAGGGCUCACAGCUGAGUUGUUAGGAUAUGAAGGACUCCUCCCACCUUGCAGGCCUCGCCUCUUCCCUUACCUGGGAGCACAGUUUGUAACUCAGGUGUGCCCUCUUCUCUGCAGCUGUGGGCUGCUCACGAGCAGAGCACCGGGGAUGGUUUGAGCCCUCAGCACCAGCAGCCCCGGCUUUGGCAGCUCUGGCUCCUGCGAUGGGACAUGCUGGGUUCCUGCAUGGAUGAGUGUGGGAAGGCUCCUGGCUGUGGAGGGAUUUGGAAGCUCUGGCAGAACAGAAGUGUGAGGAAGGUUCAGUGAGAUGCAGAUAAGGAGAGAUUAGAAGUUACCUAUAAAAAACAGAUUUUAGUUCUGAUGCUUCCUGAACGACUUUUUGCUUCCUGCCCUUUUAUUUGUGCUGUAAAGUGAAGCAGG